AUUGAACGCUGGCGGCAUGCCUUACACAUGCAAGUCGAACGGUAACAGGUCUUCGGAUGCUGACGAGUGGCGAACGGGUGAGUAAUGUAUCGGAACGUGCCCAGUCGUAGGGGAUAACGUAGCGAAAGCUACGCUAAUACCGCAUACGAUCUAUGGAUGAAAGCGGGGGAUCGCAAGACCUCGCGCGAUUGGAGCGGCCGAUAUCAGAUUAGGUAGUUGGUGGGGUAAAGGCCCACCAAGCCUGCGAUCUGCAGCUGGUCUGAGAGGACGACCAGCCACACUGGAACUGAGACACGGUCCAGACUCCUACGGGAGGCAGCAGUGGGGAAUUUUGGACAAUGGGCGCAAGCCUGAUCCAGCAAUGCCGCGUGCAGGAUGAAGGCCUUCGGGUUGUAAACUGCUUUUGUACGGAACGAAACGGCUUUUUCUAAUACAGAGAGCUAAUGACGGUACCGUAAGAAUAAGCACCGGCUAACUACGUGCCAGCCGCCGCGGUAAUAC
rnacentral:rRNA from 1 species